rnacentral:lncRNA from 1 species
AUGUCAUUUUUGUCAGCUGGGUGAGUGGAACCAACUACAUCUAUGGCAAUCAAUUUGAAAGAUCUGAGCACGUGAAAUUUAAGGUUGCUGGGUCCCUUCCUUACACAUUAAAAUGGCUGUUUAAGCUCACUGCAGAACCUGAUUGAGUACCAACCAACAAUGUCAGGCCCAAAGUGCUGCCAAAAUCCCCGGCUAUCUCCUCUGGCGAGGAAGACGGUGGUGAGGUCUUGCAAAUUGCAUCACUCAGUUCCUAUGUUUCCGGCAAUCCUGAUUCCAUAACCGCCAUUAUUCUUGUUUCUGAUAUAUUUGGUUUUGAAGCUCCCAAACUGAGGUAUUCCACUAUUCCCUGUAGCAACAACAGCUUCUGAAGUAAUUUUUUUGUAAAAUUAAUCUUCAAUAUUGAUUUUUUUUUUUUUUUGUUUUCUAAGGGAUUGCUAUUUAUUUAUUUAUUUUUUGGGCAUAUAUGGUGUUUAGCAUCAUCAAAUGAUACAUGUCACUGGAUCUGUUAUAUUUUAUAUUAUUUACACUAAAUUCAUUCAUUAGUUGUUAAAUAAGCUUUUUUUUUUUGUUGUUGUUUUAAAUUUCUUUGACAAAAUUAUAGAAAACGUUCUUUACGUUUUAGCAUCAUCACAUGAUACAUGUCAUUGGAUCUGUUAUAUUUAAUAUUAUUUACACUAAAUUCAUUAGUUAAAUAAGAUAAUUUUUUCUUGUUUUUAAAUUUCUUAGAAAAUAUUACAGAAAACGUUAUAUUCAAAACUACAACGGUCGUCCUUAAUGUUUUGCAGUUAAGUGCUAUCACGUGUUAGACAUGUGAUAACAUUUAAUUGCAAAACUUAAUAAACUUGACAUAAAGGAUGAGAGUGGAAGGACGACCGCUUUAGUUUUGAAUAAAUGUACAAGAUGUGUCUGUAGUUAUGUCAAAUUCUUAUUUCUUUUAUAUGUUUUAUAUCGUUCUUGAUAAUAAUGAUUACACAAACACCAUUUAUUUGCAAAUGUGUUUUUUUUUUGAACGGUAGGUAGAGGUUUUUGU